rnacentral:tRNA from 1 species
GAGGGUUUAGCUCAGUGGUAGAGUGUGUGCUUAGCAUGCACAAGGUCCUGGGUUCAACCCCCAGCCCCUCC